UACGAAGGGUGCAAGCGUUACUCGGAAUUACUGGGCGUAAAGCGUGCGCAGGCGGUUGGUUAAGUCUGAUGUGAAAGCCCCGAGCUCAACUUGGGGAUGGCAUUGGAAACUGGCUGGCUAGAGUGUGGCAGAGGGGGGUGGAAUUCCGCGUGUAGCAGUGAAAUGCGUAGAGAUGCGGAGGAACACCGAUGGCGAAGGCAGCCCCCUGGGCUGACACUGACACUCAGGCACGAAAGCGUGGGGAGCAAACAGG
rnacentral:rRNA from 1 species